rnacentral:rRNA from 1 species
UACGUAGGUCCCAAGCGUUAUCCGGAUUUAUUGGGCGUAAAGGGAACGCAGGCGGUCUUUUAAGUCUGAUGUGAAAGCCUUCGGCUUAACCGGAGUAGUGCAUUGGAAACUGGGAGACUUGAGUGCAGAAGAGGAGAGUGGAACUCCAUGUGUAGCGGUGAAAUGCGUAGAUAUAUGGAAGAACACCAGUGGCGAAAGCGGCUCUCUGGUCUGUAACUGACGCUGAGGUUCGAAAGCGUGGGUAGCAAGCAGG